AACGAACGCUGGCGGCAUGCCUAACACAUGCAAGUCGAACGAGACCUUCGGGUCUAGUGGCGCACGUGUGCGUAACACGUGGGAAUCUGCCCUUUGCUUCGGAAUAACAGUUAGAAAUGACUGCUAAUACCGGAUGAUGUCGAAAGACCAAAGAUUUAUCGGCAAAGGAUGAGCCCGCGUAGGAUUAGGUAGUUGGUGGGGUCAAGGCCUGCCAAACCGACGAUCCUUAGCUGGUCUGAUAGGAUGAUCAGCCACACUGGGACUGAGACACGGCCCAGACUCCUGCGGGAGGCAGCAGUGGGGAAUAUUGGACAAUGGGCGAAAGCCUGAUCCAGCAAUGCCGCGUGAGUGAUGAAGGCCUUAGGGUUGUAAAGCUCUUUUACCAGGGAUGAUAAUGACAGUACCUGGAGAAUAAGCUCCGGCUAACUCCGUG
rnacentral:rRNA from 1 species